CCUACGGGUGACAGCAGUCGAGAAUCAUUCACAAUGGGGGAAACCCUGAUGCAGCGACGCCGCGUGAGUGAAGAAGUAUUUCGGUGUGUAAAGCUCUUUCAGCAGGGAAGAAAAUGACGGUACCUGAUUAAGAAGCCCCGUCUAACUACGUUCCAGCAGCCGCGGUAAUACGUAGGGGGCCAGCGUUAUACGGAUUUACUGGGUGUAAAGGGAGCGUAGACGGCAGCACAAGUCUGGAGUGAAAUGCCGGGGCUUAACCGCGGAAGUGCUUUGGAAACUGGGCGGCUAGAGUGCAGGAGAGGUAAGUGGAAUUCGUAGUGUAGCGGUGAAAUGCGUAGAUAUUAGGAGGAACACCAGUGGCGAAGGCGGCUUACUGGACUGUAACUGACGUUGAGGCUCGAAAGCGUGGGGAGCAAACAGGAUUAGAUACCCUUGUAGUC
rnacentral:rRNA from 1 species